CAGGCCUAACACAUGCAAGUCGAACGGUAACAGGAAGCAGCUUGCUGCUUUGCUGACGAGUGGCGGACGGGUGAGUAAUGUCUGGGAAACUGCCUGAUGGAGGGGGAUAACUACUGGAAACGGUAGCUAAUACCGCAUAACGUCGCAAGACCAAAGAGGGGGACCUUCGGGCCUCUUGCCAUCGGAUGUGCCCAGAUGGGAUUAGCUAGUAGGUGGGGUAAAGGCUCACCUAGGCGACGAUCCCUAGCUGGUCUGAGAGGAUGACCAGCCACACUGGAACUGAGACACGGUCCAGACUCCUACGGGAGGCAGCAGUGGGGAAUAUUGCACAAUGGGCGCAAGCCUGAUGCAGCCAUGCCGCGUGUAUGAAGAAGGCCUUCGGGUUGUAAAGUACUUUCAGCGGGGAGGAAGGGAGUAAAGUUAAUACCUUUGCUCAUUGACGUUACCCGCAGAAGAAGCACCGGCUAACUCCGUGCCAGCAGCCGCGGUAAUACGGAGGGUGCAAGCGUUAAUCGGAAUUACUGGGCGUAAAGCGCACGCAGGCGGUUUGUUAAGUCAGAUGUGAAAUCCCCGGGCUCAACCUGGGAACUGCAUCUGAUACUGGCAAGCUUGAGUCUCGUAGAGGGGGGUAGAAUUCCAGGUGUAGCGGUGAAAUGCGUAGAGAUCUGGAGGAAUACCGGUGGCGAAGGCGGCCCCCUGGACGAAGACUGACGCUCAGGUGCGAAAGCGUGGGGAGCAAACAGGAUUAGAUACCCUGGUAGUCCACGCCGUAAACGAUGUCGACUUGGAGGUUGUGCCCUUGAGGCGUGGCUUCCGGAGCUAACGCGUUAAGUCGACCGCCUGGGGAGUACGGCCGCAAGGUUAAAACUCAAAUGAAUUGACGGGGGCCCGCACAAGCGGUGGAGCAUGUGGUUUAAUUCGAUGCAACGCGAAGAACCUUACCUGGUCUUGACAUCCACGGAAGUUUUCAGAGAUGAGAAUGUGCCUUCGGGAACCGUGAGACAGGUGCUGCAUGGCUGUCGUCAGCUCGUGUUGUGAAAUGUUGGGUUAAGUCCCGCAACGAGCGCAACCCUUAUCCUUUGUUGCCAGCGGUCCGGCCGGGAACUCAAAGGAGACUGCCAGUGAUAAACUGGAGGAAGGUGGGGAUGACGUCAAGUCAUCAUGGCCCUUACGACCAGGGCUACACACGUGCUACAAUGGCGCAUACAAAGAGAAGCGACCUCGCGAGAGCAAGCGGACCUCAUAAAGUGCGUCGUAGUCCGGAUUGGAGUCUGCAACUCGACUCCAUGAAGUCGGAAUCGCUAGUAAUCGUGGAUCAGAAUGCCACGGUGAAUACGUUCCCGGGCCUUGUACACACCGCCCGUCACACCAUGGGAGUGGGUUGCAAAAGAAGUAGGUAGCUUAACCUUCGGGAGGGCGCUUACCACUUUGUGAUUCAUGACUGGGGUGAAGUCGUAACAAGGUAACCGUAGGGGAACCUGCGGUUGGAUCACCUCCUUACCUUAAAGAAGC
rnacentral:rRNA from 1 species